rnacentral:rRNA from 1 species
CCUACGGGGGACAGCAGUGAGGAAUAUUGGUCAAUGGGCGCGAGCCUGAACCAGCCAAGUCGCGUGAGGGAGGACGGCCCUACGGGUUGUAAACCUCUUUUGCCGGGGAGCAACGGGCGUCACGUGUGGCGCCACUGAGAGUACCCGGAGAAAAAGCAUCGGCUAACUCCGUGCCAGCAGCCGCGGUAAUACGGAGGAUGCGAGCGUUAUCCGGAUGGAUUGGGUUAAAAGGGUGCGUAGGCGGAUCGUUAAGUCAGUGGUCAAAUUGAGGGGCCCAACCCCUUCCCGCCAUUGAAACUGGCGAUCUUGAGUGGAAGAGAAGUAUGCGGAAUGCGUGGUGUAGCGGUGAAAUGCAUAGAUAUCACGCAGAACCCCGAUUGCGAAGGCAGCAUGCCGGCUUCCGACUGACGCUGAAGCACGAAAGCGUGGGGAUCGAACAGGAUUAGAUACCCGGGUAGUC